UGUGCCAGCAGCCGCGGUAAUACGUAGGGUGCGAGCGUUGUCCGGAAUUAUUGGGCGUAAAGAGCUUGUAGGCGGUUUGUCGCGUCUGCUGUGAAAGCCCGGGGCUUAACCCCGGGUCUGCAGUGGGUACGGGCAGGCUAGAGUGUGGUAGGGGAGACUGGAAUUCCUGGUGUAGCGGUGGAAUGCGCAGAUAUCAGGAGGAACACCGAUGGCGAAGGCAGGUCUCUGGGCCACUACUGACGCUGAGAAGCGAAAGCGU
rnacentral:rRNA from 1 species